rnacentral:rRNA from 1 species
AGUGAACGCUGGCGGUAGGCCUAACACAUGCAAGUCGAACGGCAGCACAGUAAGAGCUUGCUCUUACGGGUGGCGAGUGGCGGACGGGUGAGGAAUACAUCGGAAUCUACUUUUUCGUGGGGGAUAACGUAGGGAAACUUACGCUAAUACCGCAUACGACCUACGGGUGAAAGCAGGGGAUCUUCGGACCUUGCGCGAUUGAAUGAGCCGAUGUCGGAUUAGCUAGUUGGCGGGGUAAAGGCCCACCAAGGCGACGAUCCGUAGCUGGUCUGAGAGGAUGAUCAGCCACACUGGAACUGAGACACGGUCCAGACUCCUACGGGAGGCAGCAGUGGGGAAUAUUGGACAAUGGGCGCAAGCCUGAUCCAGCCAUACCGCGGGGUGAAGAAGGCCUUCGGGUUGUAAAGCCCUUUUGUUGGGAAAGAAAAGCAGCAGGUUAAUACCCCGCUGUUCUGACGGUACCCAAAGAAUAAGCACCGGCUAACUUCGUG